UACGUAGGGGGCAAGCGUUGUCCGGAAUCAUUGGGCGUAAAGCGCGUGUAGGCGGCUCGAUAAGUCUGCUGUGAAAGUUCAGGGCUCAACCCUGAAAUGCCGGUGGAAACUGUCGGGCUAGAGUCCGGAAGAGGCGAGUGGAAUUCCUGGUGUAGCGGUGAAAUGCGCAGAUAUCAGGAGGAACACCAAUGGCGAAGGCAGCUCGCUGGGACGGUACUGACGCUGAGACGCGAAAGCGUGGGGAGCAGACAGG
rnacentral:rRNA from 1 species